AGUCUGUACCUGGCUUCCUUUGGAUGAAGACAUAGACCUCUCAGCUCCUCCAGCACCAUGCCUGCCUGAAUGCUGCUAUGUUUCCUUCCAUGAUAAUAAUGGACUGAACCUGACCUCACUAUGUACACCAGACUGUUCUUGAAGUCACAAAGAUCUGCCUGCUUCUGCCUCUUAGGGGAAGGGAUCAAAAGCAUGCACCUCUAUACCCAGCCUAGACUACACACACACACACACACACACACACACACACACACAAAGAGAUACACAUAUAUGCAAAUGCAUAGUUGCACAUAUAUCUGCACACUAUGGCUGUAGUGUGUCUGCCUUAGGAGCUAGUAUAGAGGCAUAACCUGUAAUCCUAGCACUAGGAAGACAGACAAGAGAUGGCAAGGCCAGCUUAGGCUUCACAGUAAGUUCUGAACUGAAGAACAAACCCUUGUCUCGAAAAGGAAAGGGAAGAAAGGAUGGAAAGGAAGAGAGAGGAAGUAACUUUUAUUAGGAGUAGAAAUGGAAUAUGGAGCAAGAGGAGUUUCCAUUCCCUCCUGGUGGAUGAACAGCUGACAUGGAGAGCAACUUGACAGUGUAUCACGGACACAAAUCUGCAUUCAUUGUCACUGUCACUGGUAGCUUUGCAGAUGCCCUUGGGAAUGUACCAAGAAGCAGCAAAACUAUGGGCAAUAUUUCUAAAAGCAUCGAAGACAGAGGCAAAAGCUGUGGACAGCACAGAUACAUAAGAGCAGAAUAAAGGACUGAUA